UACGUAGGGUGCAAGCGUUAUCGAAUAUCUGGGCGUAAAGCGUGCGCAGGCGGUUCGUUGUGUCGGUGUGAAACUCCCGGGCUUAACCUGGGAAUGGCCAUGGAAACUGGCGAACUGGAGUGCGGCAGAGGGGGUGGAAUUCCGCGUGUAGCAGUGAAAUGCGUAGAGAUGCGGAGGAACACCGAUGGCGAAGGCAGCCCCCCUGGGCUAACACUGACGCUCAGGCACGAAAGCGUGGGGAGCAAACAGG
rnacentral:rRNA from 1 species